CAUUACAGUGUCUUGGAGGCCGGCCCGCGCCGCUCCCCCUCGGGGGUCGGUGUGGCCUGCGCCCCCUCCACACGUGUCUACCACACUCUGUUGCCUUGGCGGGUCUGCCCUCGUGGCUGCCGGGGACUGCCGCUGGCAUCCCGGGCUCGUACCCGCCGAUGGACACCCUGAACCCUCUGUGAAUCCAGUAUGUCUGAGCAUUAAAGCAAAUGAAAUAAAACUUUCAACAAUGGAUCUCUUGGUUCUGGCAUCGAUGAAGAACGCAGCGAAAUGCGAUAAGUAAUGUGAAUUGCAGAAUUCCGUGAAUCAUCGAAUCUUUGAACGCACAUUGCGCCCUCUGGUAUUCCGGGGGGCAUGCCUGUUCGAGCGUCAUUGCAACCCCUCAAGCUCGGCUUGUGUGUUGGGCCAUCGUCCCACCCAGUGGACGGGCCUGCAAUGCAGUGGCAGCACCGCACCGGUGUCUGAGUGUAUGGGCAUCCGUCACCGCUCAAUAGACCCGAUCGGCGCUUGCCGUGAUCAAUCACAAUCAUCCAUUUUUGACCUCGGAUCAGGUAGGAAUACCCGCUGAACUUAAGCAUAUCAAUAAGCGGAGGAAAAGAAACCAACUGGGAUUGCCUCAGUAACGGCGAGUGAAGCGGCAAAAGCUCAAAUUUGAAAUCUGGCCCCGUCAGGAGCCCGAGUUGUAAUUUGGAGAGGACACUUCGGGUGUGGCCGCGGCGUAAGUCCCUUGGAACAGGGCGUCAUAGAGGGUGAGAAUCCCGUCUUGCGCCGCCGGACCACGCCCAUGCGAAGUUCCUUCGACGAGUCGAGUUGUUUGGGAAUGCAGCUCUAAGUGGGUGGUAAAUUUCAUCUAAAGCUAAAUAUUGGCCAGAGACCGAUAGCGAACAAGUAGAGUGAUCGAAAGGUUAAAAGCACCUUGAAAAAGGGAGUUAAAUAGCACGUGAAAUUGUUGAAAGGGAAGCGCUUGCAACCAGACUCGGUCGUGGGGGCUCAGCGGGCAUGCUUGCCCGUGUACUCCCCCGCGUUCGGGCCAGCAUCGGUUCCGGCGGUUGGUCAAAGACCUCUGGAAUGUGUCGUCCUCCGGGACGUCUUAUAGCCAGGGGUGCAAUGCUGCCAGCCGGGACCGAGGAUCGCG
rnacentral:sRNA from 1 species